ensembl:lncRNA novel transcript
AAGGUGCCACAGCAACCCCCAAAUCUUGGGAGAGGGUCUUUGGGGGCUUUGGACUUUGAUCACACUGAAACUCCAAGUGAACGUGACUUUUCUACAGUCACUACUCAUUUUUCCUGUUCAUCUCCCACUUGAUUAUGGGCAACUUAAUUUAUCUUAGUGCCGCAGUGGACACUGGCAAGUAGUAGACAGUCAAUGAAUACGGACAGAAGAAAGGAAGGGAGGAUGGGAAGGAAAGGAGAGAGGGAAGGGAUAGAGGGAGAGAGGAGCUUAGCGUGUUGAAAGCAUGUGUACAGAAACAAAUGAAACAAAAAUCAAAUGAACAGCAGGACCCGGCUCAAGAGACAGCCGAAAUGCCAGAAAAUUGUGUGGAAUCUCUGAAGAAUGCAAUGGGCUCAGCUCAAUGGUGAAGAGGUCUCCUAUGUCCCUUGUGGCCAAGACAAACCAGGCAAACCUGAGGCUGGACACACAGAACAGAUAUUUUUCUCCUCUUUUUCUUGCAUCUCCAAAAUUUCUAACUUCCUCUUGUAUGAAGGCACCUAGACUUAGUGAGUUUCCCUUUGUGACUUGGAAGUUGUGGGAAGGGAGAAUCAGUCAGGAAAUGAGGUGUCAGUAGGCUCUUUAGCAAACUCAGCCAGUAGAUGGCUAAAAAAGGACUUGGUUACUUUGGGUCCAUUUUGUCUAUCCAUGGGAUACGACCAUGAGCGCGGGGAAGAGCUCUCUACCUGAGCAUGUGGACUGAAAAGAGUAGAACCUUGGGGGAUCCUGAAGGAAGAGGGGAAACCAGGAAAACAGAGGAAGUUAACUUAGGAGGGGUAAGGGAAGAAGAAUGCAAGAUUGACGUUGCAGAAGCCAGAGGCCAGGGCUAAGAACAGGGUAAGGGACUUUUGAGAAAGGAGUAGCAGAGCAUUCACAUUAGAUAAGUUCUGAAAGGUGUCCACUGAGCCUGGGUUUGUUAUCUAGAAGGUGACCUACUGUAAACUUUGCCAGAGCAUUUUCAGUGGUGAAGAAGUGAGACCUUUGGCUCCCAGUGAAGGGAGCAAGCCCAGUUAGGUUUCUUUAACAAGCUUGGCCAGGAAGAUGGAGCAGUUGCUAGAGACGAUGGAAGGUCAAGGGAGACCUUUGCUUCCUCCACAACUGUGGCAGGCUCUGGGGCACCUUCAUAAGCUGCACAAAGAGAGCCUGAUGAGAGAGGGUGAGAACGCAGAAGGGAAAGGAAACACUGGGCAGAAAACAGGGUCUUGGGCCAAGAAAAGGGGAGAGGGGGACAUUUGCAGAGCAUCGGUAGUGGGAUUGCCUUGAACUUGAGUUUGAGUGUAAACAAAGUUCACCAAAGGGGAUGGGGAGGAGACAGACACAGAAUUAGACCCAUUCAUAGGCUUAGGGGACCUUGCAUGGCCCUUUUGAGGGCUUCGUUUUCCUCAGUGAGGUGGAAGGCAAAGCCAACUUCCUGAGGCAUGAAGUGGGGAUGGGAUGGGGAUUUGGUAAGACUGGUAACUGUUUGGAAUAGCUGUGGUGGGAUAUGGGUGAGGGUUAUUACGGGAUGCUGUGAUCCCGGGAGAGGCUGGAGGCCCUGUGUAUGACUUUCUCAAGCAGUGUUCAGCAGCGCAGGUGUAGGAGCAUUGGAGAGGGAGAAGGUUUGGACCUGUCCAAGAUCGGUAAUAGCGCUGGUGGGCCUGAAAUAGAAGGGGCCAGGUAAUUGAGGAUCUCACCAAGAAUGGAAAAGGGUCUCACUCUGGGUCCUUCUGAAAUAAAAAGGGAAGCCACAAAAAGGGAGAUUGGCUGGGAAGUAUGGAGGGAAGUAUAGGAUCAAUGAGCCUGAAGACCUGUUGUAAGGUGAGGAAAGAAAUAAGAGUUGGACGGUUAAUGAGAGGUAGCCAGGUCUUGGAAUCUGACAUUUCCAAGACAGUGCUAUGAUAGGGAGUGGCAAGGUCUACACAGAGAGUAUGGCUGUUGGAGGAAUAGAGUUGUGAAUUUUUCGGCAGACCUUUAUUGGGCUUGCUUAUUGUUCAAUUCAGUACUGUAACUACAGUUCUCUAAAUCUUGAUGGAGUAAUCUACAUCCCCAAGAAAUUAUGAUAAUGAAGGUUAGGGCACUCAAAACUAUUUUUCUUCCCUAGCAUUUAGGGAUUCUGAGUAUGAGUCUCUGUCUUUCUCUCUUCCUUUCCUUUUAUGAUACUGAAUAAUUACAAGAAGACAGUUACAGAAAGUUAUAGACCUUGAACAUAUGCAAGUACUUCCCUCUACCUUCAUUAUUAGAUUCUUGCCCAGCUAGGCAGGUCCAAGAUUUUGUUUCUGGCUAUGCUAAUUUUGGACAAUAAAAAGAAUAUCCUAUAAGCAAAAGCACCAUCUUUCA